rnacentral:rRNA from 1 species
GUUGAACGCUGGCGGCAGGCCUAACACAUGCAAGUCGAGCGGAUGAAGGGAGCUUGCUCCUGGAUUCAGCGGCGGACGGGUGAGUAAUGCCUAGGAAUCUGCCUGGUAGUGGGGGAUAACGUCCGGAAACGGGCGCUAAUACCGCAUACGUCCUGAGGGAGAAAGUGGGGGAUCUUCGGACCUCACGCUAUUAGAUGAGCCUAGGUCGGAUUAGCUAGUUGGUGGGGUAAAGGCCUACCAAGGCGACGAUCCGUAACUGGUCUGAGAGGAUGAUCAGUCACACUGGAACUGAGACACGGUCCAGACUCCUACGGGAGGCAGCAGUGGGGAAUAUUGGACAAUGGGCGAAAGCCUGAUCCAGCCAUGCCGCGUGUGUGAAGAAGGUCUUCGGAUUGUAAAGCACUUUAAGUUGGGAGGAAGGGCAGUAAGUUAAUACCUUGCUGUUUUGACGUUACCAACAGAAUAAGCACCGGCUAACUUCGUG